ANUUUCAACAACGGAUCUCUUGGCUCUCGCAUCGAUGAAGAACGCAGCGAAAUGCGAUAAGUAAUGUGAAUUGCAGAAUUCAGUGAAUCAUCGAAUCUUUGAACGCACCUUGCGCUCCUUGGUAUUCCGAGAGGCAUGCCUGUUUGAGUGUCAU
rnacentral:rRNA from 1 species